UACGGGGGGGCAAGCGUUGUUCGGAAUUACUGGGCGUAAAGGGCGCGUAGGCGGCCUUCUAAGUCGGACGUGAAAUCCCUCGGCUUAACCGAGGAACUGCGUCCGAUACUGGAAGGCUUGAAUCCGGGAGAGGGAUGCGGAAUUCCAGGUGUAGCGGUGAAAUGCGUAGAUAUCUGGAGGAACACCGGUGGCGAAGGCGGCAUCCUGGACCAACACUGACACUGAGGAGCGAAAGCCAGGGGAGCAAACGGGG
rnacentral:rRNA from 1 species